UCUGGGUCCUUUUCGCUAGCCGGUUUUGACAAAGAUUCUUUCCUUC
rnacentral:rRNA from 1 species